rnacentral:rRNA from 1 species
GUUGAACGCUGGCGGCAGGCCUAACACAUGCAAGUCGAGCGGAGCGGCGGACGGGUGAGUAAUGCCUAGGAAUCUGCCUGGUAGUGGGGGAUAAGGUCCGGAAACGGGAGCUAAUACCGCAUACUAUUAGAUGAGCCUGGGUCGGAUUAGCUUGAUGGGGGGGUAAAGGCCUACAAAGGCGACGAUCCGUAACUGGUCUUAGAGGAUGAUGAGCCACACUGGAACUGAGAAACGGUCCAGACGCCUACGGGAGGCAGCAGUGGGGAAUAUUGCACAAUGGGCGCAAGCCUGAUGCAGCCAUGCCGCGUGUAUGAAGAAGGCCUUCGGGUUGUAAAGUACUUUCAGCGGGGAGGCGUUACCCGCAGAAGAAGCACCGGCUAACUCCGUGCCAGCAGCCGCGGUAAUUC